GGAAUCGGUGGGGGGCUCACACACCUCAACAUCGUUUUGCAUGAUUCCCGCAGAAGUGGACAGAAAUACUAAAUGCUGGCCAGGAAAGACCUUGUUAUCGAGGGUUACUAGUAGUUAUAAAAUGCAAGCAAAUUGUUUUAAAGUAUUCUAUAGAAUACCUUCUGCCAGGGUAACUUUUUUCUCCCAAAAGAAAAACGCAAUCCCAGUUGGCCAACAGAAAAAAAACUUCUUUUGGGCCACAAGAACAUCCCAUGGCAAAUUCCCCCGUUCACAUUCACAGUCACCCGCCAUAAAGUGGACAAUUCAUGGCUCCGCGGUGGCGGCAUCCACAGACACAACCCCACCAUCGGCACCACCGACAACAACUUCGU